rnacentral:rRNA from 1 species
UACGAAGGGGGCUAGCGUUGCUCGGAAUCACUGGGCGUAAAGAGUGUGUAGGCGGUGUUCCAAGUUCGGUGUGAAAUCUCCCGGCUUAACUGGGAGGGUGCGCCGAAGACUGGAAUGCUCGAGCGUGGGAGAGGAAAGCGGAAUUCCUGGUGUAGCGGUGAAAUGCGUUGAUAUCAUCUGGAAUACCGGAGGCGAAGGCGGCUCACUGGGGGUUUUCUGACGCUGAGGAACGAAAGCCAGGGUAGCGAACGGG